GCCAGGCGCAGUGGCGCAUGCCUGUAAUCCCAGCAGCUUAGGGGGCUGAGGCAGGAGGAUCACAAGUUCAAAGCCAGCCUCAGCGAAAGUGAAGAGGUAUUAAGCAACUCAGUGAGACCCUGUCUCUA
rnacentral:sRNA from 1 species